UCUUUAAUUGGGUUAUCUGUUAAAACGUGAAAAGUCCAACAAAAGCGUUAUUUAUCUUCACAAUUGCACUACUUGUUGUCGUACUGUAUGUCUAGAAACCUAAUAAAUGGCACAAAAUAUUUACAGAUAGGACCUACGAGUGCGUCUUUCUGUCGUUGACCUGCCUGGAAUGGAGGUCUUUUACUUCCGGAAACACAUCUAAGCAUUGUGGGAUUUGCAGUUCUUCUAGCAGGUAGCUGUGGAAAUUAAGUGACACCAUCCAACCGACUAAGCUCUGCUCGCUUACAGCGGCUUCCUGAAGCAGUCACAACAAGUGGCUAGACACAACACAUGAGAGAAAGAGUGCAAGUUACUAAGUUUUGUCAAGAUUACCCAUCUCUUAGGACUGCGUGGAAAGUCUCCUGAACCAACUAAUAGCUCUUCAUGGUGAUAUUCUGGAUGUCUUCUCUCGGACUGGCCCAGUUCGAUUCCACUCCUGGAAGUUCUCAGAUAAGCUUUCAUUCGAUCUGGACCUGGUGCCACAAUUAGAACAAUACGACUUUGUUGAUGGGGAGGUGGAAUUCAAUCAGCAUUCACAUUGUUUUGCUGAAUUUGGUGAUUUAAGUGAUAAUGCCCGAGAAGACGGUGUUUUGAGGAUAUAUUGACACGGGUGUUGUUAGUAGAGGGCCAGCAAACCGUGCCAAUAUAUCCUCCAAACACCGGCUUCGAGGGCAUUACCACUUUUAUACGGGUUACCAACAUAUUAAAAUAAUGAUUUACAUAUUUUCAUUAAAAACGUUAUUUAAAAAAAAAAAUGUGUUCAUACAAUUUCAUCCUUACACAAGAUAUAGUCCCGACACAAAUCGGGACUAUAUAUGCUACUCAAACUGGCUGGUCGUUUGUUCAAUCGGUUCGUUUGCCAGAGACGCGACCUAGUAUUUUUGUUCUGUAUCUAUGGACGAGACCCAGUCGUUCGUUCUAAAUGUUCCAUUGCCAUACUAGCUGGCAACGUUAUUAUCCUUUGCCUUCUAGCUAGCCAACUACGGCUAAUUCAGUCAUGUCAAAAAUUGCAUUCAGAAUAACAGCAAAGUAGCUACAUUUGCAUUUGUUUACGCUGUUUUGUGGAGACAUCCAUAACAAUGAGUUAAUGAGGCGCGAUUUCGUCUCAUAGAAAAUGUGCUCAUUUGUCAGGACACCGUUAUUUAGAGCAACUGAAGCUGGAAAGACUGCAAACUAGCUGCACUUCGUUUCGUUUGACCUUUUUUUCAAUUUACAUUUUUUGUAUAUAUAUCUAUAAAAAUGAAGCCCGCUGUUUCAUGAUUUCGACCGGCUGAGAAACGCUGCCUGCCUGUCUUCUCCCAACUCGUUCAUUACUAUGGGACGGCUGGAGAUCGAAUUUGAAUAUUGAAACAAUUUGGCAAAUGUCGGCGAGACAGACCGCAAGGUUUAUACAAAUCAUACUGUUGAAAACUAAAUGUUAGUCUAAAAGAAAUGUGAGUUAAUGUCUAGAUGCUUUUUAUAGUGGAGAUCAAGUUUAUAAAUUGCUUGGCUGGGCUGAUGAGCCAGUGGAUUGUGCAGUCAGAUGGAACAGAGUAAAUAGGCAUUUUUAACUUCAUAGAUUAGCCAGUGGUAAAUUGUGGAAUAGACACCAUCUGAAAUGCGGAUUUAGCCAAUCUGCAUUCAGGAUUAGACCCACCCGUAGCUAGAGAAUAGUUGGAAAUUAACGAUACAUGACUGUAAUCCAUUUAUUUUCCCUAGAUUACUACUCCUGCUGCAAAGUUUCAGUGCAUAUGCAGAGCAGUUGAAGUUUGGACAGAAAGAAAACAUGAAGCAAACAGCUCCAUGUGUAUCAAUUGGCCUUGUAGUUGGACACUAUUGGAAUAACUUUAUCCAGAUUGGCAACCAGAAGCAUGAAGCUAGAUAUUCAAGAAUUGAUCAAAACUCCAAAGUAUGAGGAAAACACCACUUUCUCUUUAGCAUCCUCACUCCUGACCACAAAAAGGGAUAUUUGUCCACAGUCUCCAUCUGUAGUGUCUCAGCACUGUACUUCAAGAACAACAGCAAGCACUCCAUUCCUCCACAGACGAUAACAAAUGGCGGCCCCUCCUGUCCUACUCGCAGAACAGCAAGCAUCAUCCCCUCCUGCCUUUCCCCUAUAUCCACAGACACUCAUAAUGUAAGUUGCCAGACAGUAGAGUCCUCCCUUGUCCCCUGUGAUGCCUGUGCUCAGGUCCAGUCCAGCCUGAGGGAGACUGGUGAUGCUCUUGUGGAGCUGUGUCAGAGCGAGGGCCUUCCCACCUCUCUACAGCGCCUCCUGGUGGCUGUGGAUGACACUAUGUAGCAGGGCCGUCUCACUGUAGGAGAUGUGUCCCAGUGGUCCACAGAGCAGCACAGGGACAUGGGUCAGGUGGGAAAGCAUCUGCUGAAGGUGCAGGGCUCAGCUGGGGGAGGGAACAGGAGGAACUAAAGCGUGAAUGGGCAAAGGACCAAGCAAGACUGUAGGAGGCCCAGGCAUCCAGGAAGGAGACAGAGAGGAGACUGCAGGACGAACAUGAGGAGCUGAGGUGAGGCUCCUUGUCCCUGGAGGAUAGCAACUCCAAACUGAAGGCAGAGAUUAGUUUGCAACAAAAAAGGUUACACAAACUCAAGUGUGAGAGAGAUAAGCUACAUCAGGAAGUGAAGGCCUUGCAGGUAGAGGAAGAGGCACGGAAUAAACAAGAGGAGAAGACACAAACACUGGAGGCUCAACUGUCCAGUACUCAGCUCUUACUUGACAAAGAGAACUCCAAGUACCAGAAUGCAUGUCACCAACAGGAGUCACUGCAGGCCAAGCAGAUGUCUCUAUUGGAGAGAGUGGAUGCUCUGGACCAGGAGUGUGAGGAGCUUCAAGGACAGUUGGGGGAGACUGAGGACACACAGACAGGCCUUCAGGAUAGACUGACACACAUCUCAGCGGAGAAGGACCAACUUAAAACCCAGCUCACCCAAGAACAGUCCUUGAGGCCUUGUGUUCUGAGCUGCAGCAGGAGAAGCAGAGAUUGGAGAGUCAUGUGAGCAAGCUGAAAGACAGUUUGGAUCAGCUGAGAGGAGAGGUGCAGGAGUUAGCACAGAGGGAGGCUGCUGGUGGCAUUCCCAGAGCUCAACCCACUGCCUCAGGGACCGCCACAGAGUAGGAUCACUUCCCUAAAUAACUCAGAGCAUUUUCUACAACCUCUCUCAGCAGCUUUGGAUUCUCCCAGUCUGCCUGACGCUCCCAGAGAGAGACAGCUAAAUCCCACCCCCUACGUACAAAACAGCCCUCUAAGUCAACACCACAGAAAGAACAUAUACAUAUAUGUAUACUGCAGACAGACCUCCAGUGCAGGAGUGUUGAAACAUUGAUUGCGGAGGAAGGGAGCAGACAAAGGGGAUUCCAUCCCUGUGGUGAUGGGGUCUUGGGAUCACGUCUCUGCCACCUUCUCUACAGCUCUGGUGCACCAGCGGACUCUACGGCUCUCCCCAGACACCAGCGCAGCCAGAGCCUAAGCAAAGAUACGCCAGGCGUCCCAGGCGCCAGGCGUUUUUGGAGCAUAGUAAUGCCGAAAGAGGCUGUUAGAAGUAUAUGUCAGGCUUCUCCAUCAGGAGACUGCAGUAAGGCAUUGCAUUGUAGCUCAUACACAUAGUUGUUUGUGUAUCAGCUGAGGCAGAUGCAGAAAAGUUAUAGAGUUCAGGAUCUUGGCAACAUUGAGCUGGCUUGAAGUUGCUAUUUAACUGAAAAUGAAUUUGAUUCAUUCACAAACUGUGGUAUCAUGUUUUUUCUUUCUUGAACUGUUAUGUUAAUCACUUUGCUACUUUGGAUUGCAAAUGUGCAUUUGUUGACUUCACGCAUUUAGCAAAAUUAUCCCCAGGGGAUAGUGAAACAGUUACCUAGUUUAGAAUGGUAAAGCAAUAAGACUGAGCAUAACGAGCCUAUCAAGCACAUUCAUUAUUUAAACUCAUAAAGAAUCUGGUCAUGCACAAACACACACUAAAAAUAAGUGUCUUAAAAUGAUCAGUCUAGAAAAGGGAGUGGCUAGGUAAAAGACAAGCCAUGGUGUGUGUCUGUGUGUUUAGCUAAGUGUGUGGUCUUCUAGGCUCUACUAUUGUGUCACCAACACAAUGCCACGAAUGCAGAUGUGUCUAAUGAUUUACAGAGUACUCUGACGAGGGAGGGGUAAGUUCCUAUGGCAACAUUGAUGAUCAGAGCAUGACAUCUUGUGUGGGUUCCCUCCUGUCCUUACUGUCAGUCCAACCCUUCACCUAUUGAGGAGUAUACUUGAUGGUAGAACAACCAAUUCAUUGUGAAGUAUGCUUCCCAUGGCAUGUUAGGGUGCAAUAUUUUUGUCCUUUCUUUGUAUUUCCUUGCACUAGAAAUGCCAAAUUACUUUUCUGAAGGUGGGUUAAAAAAUAAAAACAAAAUAUGGCAGACACAGUAUUUAUCUGAAAAUGUAAAAUGGAGCAUUGUAUGAUCAAUUUAGUUAUUUUAAUAGUAUGCUACCCUGUAAAAAUAACUAUUCAGAAUGCUGCUUCAAAACAUUUAUUUGUCACAAAAUAACUUAUUUUAGACUAUACAACAAAAAGACAUUUGGAUGUGAAAGUAUAGAGUACAUAGGUACAGUCAGACCUCAUAUCGCACUGUGCUUACUGAUACACAAAAGACAAAGACCGUAACUCAGAGGUGAGGAAAUGUUCAGCUUGCCAAAAGCACCAGUGUCAACAACUGCAACUUGCCCCCACAGGAAAAAGAGAGACAUGGUGGAAGAAGGACACAGUCAUUUGCAGUUAGAAACUUAAACAAUGUGCAAAGUUGUACAAAAAUCCAUUGAAUAUUUUUGGUAUCCCCGCAUCCAAUAACAUUAGAUUAUUUCAAAGGUUAUAUCUGUUGUUCAAAUCAAUUGAAUGUUAUAUAGUCAUUUACAAUAUAAUAUCCUAUGAGUAAAUACUGAGAUUAUAACAGGGAAAACUACUUGGAUAGAGGAAAAAAAAAAUACCUGAACAACAAUUUAGAUUUCACGUAAGCUUUGGGAAUCAUUCCGUAUUCAUGAAAACAUAUUUAAGGCCAUUGGUUACUUGUGUCAUAUUUACAUAAGCAUACUGGUUUGUUUAUAAUAACUAAUAAAUAGUGAUAAAGAGACAAAACAACAUAUUUCUGAGUACAACACUAAGUUGAGCUACAGACACUUCUGAGGCUGGUAGCCAGUAGUCAGGGAAUCAUGCUCAUUCUUCAUCAUUCUAAGGGCUGUGGUAUAUAGAAACCGCUAAUAACAUUAAGGCAAUGUUUCAGUAACAUUAUUAAAACACAGAUAAAUGGUAGAUGUUUUACCACAAUCUCCAAACGUGACAACCAUGCAAAUCUACACCUAAUAGGUAACAAAAUAACACCUCGUCAGGACUUGACUGAAAACUUCAGCCAUUGGAAUGCUAUGAUUAUCACCUUAAGACAUUGUUACAUCUUAGACACCGACAGGAAAGGGAGUAACUGUUGGUGAGAGUGCUGUCUCUCCGAGACAUUCAGUGUAAUUCAGCACUGUGUGAUCUCACAUAUGUGUUUUAUCAUCUAGGUCAAGCUAUUAGGCAGCUACAGGGACCGCUGCAAAUCUGUCAGAUUACAGAGGCCUCAUGAGGAUGAGGGAUGUCGUAUGGCUGGCAUAACUCCCAAUCUCUGUUUGCCAAUAUGCUUUUAAGCAGCAGCACCACCACCAAAUACCCUGUUCUGGUACAUCAUGCACUGGGUUUGUACUUGCCUUACAAAAAGCAUGUAUUAAAUCAUAUGCACAUAAAAUUGUCAGAGACUCCAGUCACCCAAGUCUUAGACUGUUCUCUCUGCUACCUCACGACAAGCGGUACCAGAACGGAAAGUUUAGGUCCAAAAGGCCCCUUAACAGCUUCUACCCCCAAGCCAUAAGACUGCUGAACAAUUAAUCAAAUGGCCACUUGGAGUAUUUUCUGUGACCCCCCCCACCCCAGAUUUUGUUUUU